GAUGAAGAACGUAGCGAAAUGCGAUAAGUAAUGUGAAUUGCAGAAUUCAGUGAAUCAUCGAAUCUUUGAACGCACAUUGCGCCCGCCAGUAUUCUGGCGGGCAUGCCUGUCCGAGCGUCAUUUCAACCCUCGAACCCCUCCGGGGGGUCGGCGUUGGGGACCUCGGGAGCCCCUAAGCCGGGAUCCCGGCCCCGAAAUACAGUGGCGGUCUCGCCGCAGCCUCUCCUGCGCAGUAGUUUGCACAACUCGCACCGGGAGCGCGGCGCGUCCACGUCCGUAAAACACCCAACUUCUGAAAUGUUGACCUCGGAUCAGGUAGGAAUACCCGCUGAACUUAAGCAUAUCAAUAAGCGGAGGA
rnacentral:misc_RNA from 1 species